UACGAAGGGGGCUAGCGUUGUUCGGAAUCACUGGGCGUAAAGCGCACGUAGGCGGAUUGUUAAGUCGGGGGUGAAAUCCCAGAGCUCAACUCUGGAACUGCCUUUGAUACUGGCGAUCUUGAGUCCGGAAGAGGUGAGUGGAACUCCGAGUGUAGAGGUGAAAUUCGUAGAUAUUCGGAAGAACACCAGUGGCGAAGGCGGCUCACUGGUCCGGUACUGACGCUGAGGUGCGAAAGCGUGGGGAGCAAACAGG
rnacentral:rRNA from 1 species